rnacentral:lncRNA from 1 species
GCCUGUUUACUUGUCUUUCUAUAAAAUGACUAAGUAGAGUAGUCGAUAAGACUAAGUAAGAUAGUCGGUAGGAAGUUGCAAACCCAUAAUCGAGUAGAUAGACUUAAAAAAAAUUUUAAGUCAAGUAGUCGAUUUUUGUAGAGCACUUCGUUGGAUUCGAUACGUAGUUGUAGAUCAUUCUGUUGAAUAGUUGUCAGUUAUUUUGGAUCAUUCGAUUCUUAGUCAGUCGGAUGCAAGCCGACUAACUACUCGACCAUCUACUUUGGCCACGUGCAUACCAUAGCUUGUAGGCUUGCGAUC